rnacentral:rRNA from 2 species
AGAGUUUGAUCAUGGCUCAGAUUGAACGCUGGCGGCAGGCCUAACACAUGCAAGUCGAGCGGAAACGGCAGUAUUGAAGCUUCGGUGGAUUUAUUGGACGUCGAGCGGCGGACGGGUGAGUAACGGCUGGGAACCUGCCUGACGAGGGGGAUAACCGUUGGAAACGACGGCUAAUACCGCAUAAUGUCUUAGUUCAUUACGAGCUGGGACCAAAGGUGGCCUCUACAUGUAAGCUAUCGCGUUGGGAUGGGCCCAGUUAGGAUUAGCUAGUUGGUAAGGUAAUGGCUUACCAAGCAACGAUCCUUAGCUGGUUUGAGAGGAUGAUCAGCCACACUGGGACUGAGACACGGCCCAGACUCCUACGGGAGGCAGCAGUGGGGAAUAUUGCACAAUGGGGGAGACCCUGAUGCAGCCAUGCCGCGUGUGUGAAGAAGGCCUUCGGGUUGUAAAGCACUUUCAGCAGUGAGGAAGGUCGUGUACUUAAUACGUGCACGGCUUGACGUUAGCUGCAGAAGAAGCACCGGCUAACUCCGUGCCAGCAGCCGCGGUAAUACGGAGGGUGCGAGCGUUAAUCGGAAUUACUGGGCGUAAAGCGCAUGCAGGCGGUUUGUUAAGUCAGAUGUGAAAGCCCGGGGCUCAACCUCGGAACCGCAUUUGAAACUGGCAGGCUAGAGUCUUGUAGAGGGGGGUAGAAUUUCAGGUGUAGCGGUGAAAUGCGUAGAGAUCUGAAGGAAUACCAGUGGCGAAGGCGGCCCCCUGGACAAAGACUGACGCUCAGAUGCGAAAGCGUGGGUAGCAAACAGGAUUAGAUACCCUGGUAGUCCACGCCGUAAACGCUGUCUACUUGGAGGUUGAGGUUUUAGACUUUGGCUUUCGGCGCUAACGCAUUAAGUAGACCGCCUGGGGAGUACGGCCGCAAGGUUAAAACUCAAAUGAAUUGACGGGGGCCCGCACAAGCGGUGGAGCAUGUGGUUUAAUUCGAUGCAACGCGAAGAACCUUACCUACUCUUGACAUCCAGCGAAGCCUUUAGAGAUAGAGGCGUGCCUUCGGGAGCGCUGAGACAGGUGCUGCAUGGCUGUCGUCAGCUCGUGUUGUGAAAUGUUGGGUUAAGUCCCGCAACGAGCGCAACCCUUAUCCUUGUUUGCCAGCACGUAAUGGUGGGAACUCCAGGGAGACUGCCGGUGAUAAACCGGAGGAAGGUGGGGACGACGUCAAGUCAUCAUGGCCCUUACGAGUAGGGCUACACACGUGCUACAAUGGCAGAUACAGAGGGCAGCGAGACAGCGAUGUUUAGCGAAUCCCUUAAAGUUUGUCGUAGUCCGGAUUGGAGUCUGCAACUCGACUCCAUGAAGUCGGAAUCGCUAGUAAUCGUGGAUCAGAAUGCCACGGUGAAUACGUUCCCGGGCCUUGUACACACCGCCCGUCACACCAUGGGAGUGGGCUGCACCAGAAGUAGAUAGCUUAACCUUCGGGAGGGCGUUUACCACGGUGUGGUUCAUGACUGGGGUGAAGUCGUAACAAGGUA